rnacentral:snRNA from 1 species
AUACUAACCUGGCAGGGGAGAUACCAUGAUCACGAAGGUGGUUUUCCCAGGGCGAGGCUUAUCCAUUGCACUCCGGAUGUGCUGACCCCUGCGAUUUCCCCAAAUGUGGGAAACUCGACUGCAUAAUUUGUGGUAGUGGGGGACUGCGUUCGCGCUCUCCCCUA